rnacentral:lncRNA from 1 species
CUGCCCGCUCCACCGCACCUUUGCACCAGCGAGCUCGCACCGACGCCCCCCAGUUGCCGGUUCCCUGCUCUGUCUCGCCGCAUCAGCAUCACCCAGCUUCACCGGAGAUUUGCUCCCCGGCCUCGCCUGAACCGCGAUCCACCUGCUACUCGAAGCCGAAGACCCGUGCGCCGCCGUCAUCCAGCCUCCAAAAGUCCGAGCCAUCCCUACCGCCGGCUGACCCACGAUUUCGAUUGCUCGCUGCCGCCCGAGCCGCCGAUCAGCCCGUUGCUGGUCUUUUCCGGAGCUCUGAACGCCGGCAACCCAACCCCCGGCGAUCCACCGAAGUCGCUCAGCCGUGGGUGAAGAAAGCAGGAAAAGAGAAAAAACAAAAAAGAAAAGGAAAGGAAAUUAGGUAGUUUUAUUUUCUUUUUCUAUUAACUUUAUUUUAUUUAUUUCUUUUAAGUUUAGUUGUUAUUGUGAAAAUUUGAAGGGAUCUUCAUUUCAUGAAUUUUG